UGCCUGAAUAACUACUGGAAACGGUAGCUAAUACCGCAUAACGUCGCAAGACCAAAGAGGGGGACCUUCGGGCCUCUUGCCAUCGGAUGUGCCCAGAUGGGAUUAGCUAGUAGGUGGGGUAGCGGCUCACCUAGGCGACGAUCCCUAGCUGGUCUGAGAGGAUGACCAGCCACACUGGAACUGAGACACGGUCCAGACUCCUACGGGAGGCAGCAGUGGGGAAUAUUGCACAAUGGGCGCAAGCCUGAUGCAGCCAUGCCGCGUGUAUGAAGAAGGCCUUCGGGUUGUAAAGUACUUUCAGCGGGGAGGAAGGGAGUAAAGUUAAUACCUUUGCUCAUUGACGUUACCCGCAGAAGAAGCACCGGCUAACUCCGUGCCAGCAGCCGCGGUGAUACGGAGGGUGCAAGCGUUAAUCGGAAUUACUGGGCGUAAAGCGCACGCAGGCGGUUUGUUAAGUCAGAUGUGAAAUCCCCGGGCUCAACCUGGGAACUGCAUCUGAUACUGGCAAGCUUGAGUCUCGUAGAGGGGGGUAGAAUUCCAGGUGUAGCGGUGAAAUGCGUAGAGAUCUGGAGGAAUACCGGUGGCGAAGGCGGCCCCCUGGACGAAGACUGACGCUCAGGUGCGAAAGCGUGGGGAGCAAACAGGAUUAGAUACCCUGGUAGUCCACGCCGUAAACGAUGUCGACUUGGAG
rnacentral:rRNA from 1 species